AGCAUAAAUGACUAUUUGUUUAACAACUAUAUUGAUUUAGUUCAAUUUUCCAUAUCAUUUUUCACAGUGUACUUGAUUUUCUUAAUAAACAAUUUUUACAUUUUUUUCAAAAAUUUUGUGAUAUAAGUACUACAAUUUUACGUUAUCGUAAAGAGAAAACAAUUCUCUAUCCAAUAAGCGCGUCAACGUCAAUUUGUUCGAGUUGGAUAACCUUAUAACCAAUACUCAAUGGACCUUGGUAACAUGGACAACGUUAACCCGUCAUUUUUGCUCGAAUAUUUCGAUUACCUAGGCGUCAUGAACCGCGCCAGCUAAACGUUACAGGAAACUUAGUACCAAAAAGAUGUCUUUCAAUACACUGGAAAGACUGAAACUUGGAGAAAAAGUGUCGAUGAUGUCAUAGUUUAAGAAGAGUCAUUCUAACCGCUUCUAAACUUCCAAGAAGUGUUUGGAAACAUACAAGCAAGAGAAGUUAACGUUUAUUCUGACCAGGCUUAGAACUUGGAAAAAUUGUUAGUAAUUAUGCUGGCCAAAUUCCAAAUUGCAAGAAGUAAUCGAUAAUUCUACUGAAUAGAUUUUAGACAGUGUGAAUUGGCUGCUCAUUACAUUGUUAAAGCUCCAAACUUUACUGAAAUGUGUGGAACUGUACCGGAUAAAUGUCAGAUUUACUGCAAGCAAAAGAAUUAAGCUGGAUAUAUUACAACCUACAACGUAAAUCUACAAUUAUACUGAGAUGAUUUUAGACUACCUACAAGAAGUCUGAAAUCACACAGACAAGACUCUAGAUUUUAUGAAUCAUCUUAAAUGAUAAUUAGAUCUUAACAAAAUGUCACAAAUUGUUUGAACCUAUUCUGAACUUUAGAAGAUAUAUAUAAUAAAGCUUGAAGCUUUAAGAUUAUUUCGGGAUUUAAGCAAUACAAAGGGGAAACUGUGUACCAAAAAGAAGUCUCUUAAUGCACUGGAAAGACUGAAAAUUUGAAGAAAAAGUGUGGUAUCUUGAUGAUUAUAUGUCAUAGUUUAAGAAAGAAUCAUUCUAAUCGCUUCUAAACUUCCUUAAGAGGUGUCUGGAAGCACAUAGCAAGAGAAGUUAACGUUUAUUCUGACCAGGCUUGGAACUACAAGGAAUUGUUAGUAAUUAUGCUGGCCAAAUUGCAAGAAAUAAUCGAUAGUUGGAUAGAUUCUAGACAGUGUGAAUUGGCUUCUAAUUACAUUGGUAAAGCUUCAAACUUUACUGAAAUGUGUGGAACUGUACUGGAUAAAUGCCAUACUGCAAGCAAAAGUCUGCAAGCAAAAGAAUUAAGCUGGAUGUAUUACAACCUACAAAGUAAGUCUACAAUUAUACUGAGAUGAUUCUAGACUACAAGAAGAAGUCUAAAAUUACAUAGGCAAGACUCCAGACUUUAUGAAUCAUCUUAAAUGAUAAUUAGAUUUUAACCAUCUUAACAAAAUGUCACAAAUUGUUUGAACCUAUUCUAAACAUUUAGAAGAUAUAUAUAAUAAAGCUUGAAGCUUUAAGAUUAUUUCGGGAAUUAAGCUAUA